UAUAGGUGCUAGGACAGAAGGU
rnacentral:misc_RNA from 1 species